GUCUUAUUUGUUUUUUUUUGUUAAUUUUUAAAGAAUUUAAGAGACUUGAACAAACUACAACGACGUGAAGGCCAUAGUUAAUUUUUUUUAAAUUUUGUAAUUGUAUCAAAACCGAUGUAUGUUGUUACCUAUUAGCAUUCACGUUUUUUUAGAACGAAAAGUUUUUGUAAAAUUAUUUAGACCGUGUUAAUGAGACUUUUUAAUGCUACUUUAUUUCCCAGUAAAAUAAUAAAAAUUAUGCCUAAAAAAAAUACCAAACCGGUUCAAGGAAAAUUAGAGACUGUUCAAACAGGACCUAUAACAGUUGACAAAUCGGGUGAUGUUGUUAUUAAAAUAAAUGCCAAACCUGGUGCCAAAAAUAAUAACAUAACAGAUAUAUCUUCUGAUGGUGUUGGUGUCCAGAUAAAUGCACCUCCGACUGAUGGUGAAGCUAAUGCAGAGUUAAUAAAAUAUCUUUCAAAGGUUUUGGGUUUGAGAAAAAGUGAUUUAAGUUUAGAUCGAGGUUCAAGAUCGAGAAAUAAAAUUUUAAUUGUACACAAUACUUCAUUGGGCAUAGAAGGGAUCACUGAAAAAAUUAAUGAAGAAAUUAAUGAAAAUCAUUAGUAAAAUAUGAUAAGCUUAAAAUGGAUGUUAAAAUAUGUAGGCAUAAUAUAUAAUUGAAAAGGGGCAAGUUGGCACACUGGUAUAUAACUGUAAAUGGAUCAUUAACAUAAUUAUGAAAUGUAACAUCUGUAUUAAAUGUCUAAUGGACCAAGUAAAAGAUUUUUGUAAAGAAUGCAAAAAUCAUUUGUCAUAAUCUAUCUUAAUUGAAACCAACCACAGAACAACAUACAAAAUACAUAACAGACCAAGUUAUUUGCAAAUGUUCCCACUACAUAGAUAUGUAUGCAAUAUUUCAUUUCAGUUAUUCCACAAAUUAUAGUACCAGUUAAUACAUAACCUAAAAUGUAAUUUCUAGCAUUAUUUUAGAAAUCAUAACUUAAUACAUUUUUUUGGUCUAGCUGUUAAUUAAUAUUAUUUUCAUGCAAUAUAUUAAUAUAAUUAUUUCAUUUUAUUAUUCUUUGCAAUUUUAUAUUUUGGAUGAGCGAGGUAAUGAAUUUCUUAAUUUUACAAUUAUGUUUGUUUUUUUUUUUUGUUCAUUACAUAAGAAUAUGAGGUACCGACUCAUUGAUUACCCAAAGGUAGACCUACACACUAUACUGAACAUCUACUAAACAGCAGAGGAAGUUCUUGUGUUUUUU